rnacentral:rRNA from 1 species
GUAACAACUCACCUGCCGAAUGAACUAGCCCUGAAAAUGGAUGGCGCUCAAGCGUGUUACCCAUACCUCGCCGUUAGCGCUUUCGAUACGUUAACGAGUAGGCAGGCGUGGAGGUCCGUGAAGAAGCGUUCGGAGUGAUCCGGCGUAGAACGGCCUCUAGUGCAGAUCUUGGUGGUAGUAGAAAAUAUUCAAAUGAGAACUUU